CUUCUGUAUUUCCAUUACUGCAGCAGUCUCUUGAUGAACACACAACCAGUGACAGUGAUGGCACAGGUGCAUGCAUGGAGUCUGAGUUCUUUGAUGCCUGGACGGACAGUGAUAGCUCAGAAGCAAACAUGGAUUCUGACCUUGAGAACCCCCUCAGCAGCCACACUGAUGAUUAUGAUGAUGGUGGUGAUGACACAACUUCUGAUGCUGAACACAUGGUAGGACUAUUUCUUCAUAUUACAGUAACAUUUCAAAUUAUUUUUAAGUUUAAUCACUAUUCCGGUUACAUUUUACGGUUUGACUUGUAGAUGUGGAGAAAAAGUAUUGUAUUAUUCGCAGUUGGAUUACAAUAUAGUGUACAUGCACAUGCAUAGUAGCCUUGUUUCUUCAAGGCUACUAUGGUGAAUCUCGGUGCAGAAUUAAGCAUGUGAUGUCAAUACCAUCUGAAUUUGGUGAUUUAAUUGCUCUGGACGUAAGCCAACUGUCAGAAAAAUGCGUAGUAUACAGACAAGAAAAUAGUUGUUUGGUUUGCUUAAUACCAAACAGUUUAGAGCGAGAUUGAAUUCUAAGAUGCAAUCAGCAAUGUACUCUGAGACCAAGUAUUUCUGAAAUGAAUUGCAUAUAGCAGACAUUUACUUACACACACAAAAACAGAUCUGCACAAAUGUACACAAACACACAAGUUUUAUACAGAUCUACAAAAGCACACCCAAGUCAAUUACAGCACAGAUAUACAAAUACACAAAUUACAUACAGUGCGGAUCUACACAAACACAAGAUUGGCUGUUUUUCAUGUGGGUAUGUUGCAGUCCUGUAAUUGUGAAUAGUUUUACGUCAAACUAUAACUGGUCAAUAACUUUUAUUUUAUUAUUGUUAACUGUUGUUUUUUUUGUUUGUUUGUUUGUUUUGUAAAGUAUGAAAUGUAAGCGUAACGCCAAAAAUCCUGUAUAUGUUGAGGUUGACAAAAAAAAAGAAAAAAAAAAAAGCUCUGUAGCGCAGUGGGUUAUGCGAAGAUCUACACACAUAAACACAUGAAUGCCUGUUUUUAAUGUGAAUGUUGCAAUCUUGCAAUUGUGAACAUGCAGUUUUGAAGACUAUGCAAUAACUCAUUUAAAUAAAGAUUUGUAAAGAAAAAAAAUAGUUGCAUUUGUGCUUUUAUACAGUUUCCAUAUGUAGGUUAUUUGUGUAUGUUUUGUGGAAACUUUGCGCUUGCUGAAAAUAUUAUAGUGAAGCUGCAAAUAAUGCAAUAUGAUGUGAUGUUGGAAUGGGUUUCAUGUUACAGCAUCAGAACUGAAAGUGCUGGAUCUGAAGAUGAUCUACUUACUGUGAUUGUUUUUUGUAUGACUGUGUAGAGAAGAUAAUUGAAUGAAAAGCUUCCCACAUGUAGUGCAGUCAUACGGUUUCUCUCCACCAGUAUGUGUUUUCUGAUGUACUUUUAAAUAUUUUAGUAAUGAAGAACUCUUUCCAUACAAAUGACAUGAAUGUGGCUUCUCCUUUGUAUGAACUUUCAUGUGCUGCUUCAGGACUGAAGCCCUCAAAAAUGUUUUGUCACAUUGAUGCUCUCAUAUGUGCUGUAAGGUGUCCUGUUCGUGUGACUCUUCCGCACUGAUCACAUGAGUACAGUUUCUCUCCAGUGUGGAUUUUCAUUUGAUCCUUAAGGUUUGCCGAUUGUGCAAAACUCUUUCCACACUGAUCACAUGUGAACGGUUUCUCUCCUGUAUGAAUGGUCAUAUGUGCUGUAAGGUUUCCUUUUUGUAAAUAAUUCUUGCCACACUGAUCACACGUGAACGGUUUCUCUCCUGUAUGAACUCUCAUGACACAAGACCAUUUUUGCUUGAGACACUCUUUCCACACUGAGAGCAGGUGAAAGAUUUCUUGGCUCUUCUUUUCUUUAUUUUUUUUCUGUUUGGUUUGAGAGCAACUCUGAGGUUUUUCUCCAGUUUUGACAUUUUUCUCCUCAACUUCACUCAGUUCUUCAUUCUCCUCAUUUUCUUCAAUUGACUCUGAAAUUUCAAAAAAAAA